CUACGUAGGUGACAAGCGUUAUCCGGAUUUACUGGGCGUAAAGGGCGUGUAGGCGGUCUUGCAAGUCAGAAGUGAAAUUCCUGAGCUCAACUCGGGCGCUGCUUCUGAAACUGCAGGGCUUGAGUGCUGGAGGGGAUAGCGGAAUUCCUAGUGGAGCGGUAAAAUGCGCAGAUAUUAGGAAGAACACCGGUGGCGAAGGCGGCUAUCUGGACAGUAACUGACGCUGAGGCGCGAAAGCGUGGGGAGCAAACAGGAUUAGAUACCCUGGUAGUCCACGCUGUAAACGAUGAAUACUAGGUGUAGGGGGUAUCGACUCCCUCUGUGCCGCAGUUAACACAAUAAGUAUUCCGCCUGGGGAGUACGGCCGCAAGGUUGAAACUCAAAUGAAUUGACGGGG
rnacentral:rRNA from 1 species